CAAGGAACCAAAAACCCCAAGAAUCGCCAAGAAGCGGCAUCCAUAAAUAAUCUUCUCUAUGUUCUCCUCCACAGCCAGCAAAUUGUGUAUCUUUGAUGAGAACACAGGAGAUGGAGAAGAAGAAGUCUGUGUACCUUGUGGUGCUAAAGGAGCAUCAGCUCUAGAACAUUUGGUGAUGGUCAAUGGAAAUCUAACACCAAAAGGACGAUAUUCAGAAACCCUUUUGGAAAUUGGAGAUAAAUGGGUGGUUUUGAUAAAGAAAGGAGAGGUUUUGAUGAGAGUAGUGGAGAAAUUCAUGUGGAUGAAAAUGGAGAGGUUUUGGCAUGAAUGAAUGUUGCAGAAUCCCUAAGCAAGUACUGUAUUAGAUUUUAUUACUUGCUGUUGACUGAUUAAGCUCUGUCUACCGUAUUAUUCUUUGUUUCUGGAAACGCCAGAAAAUGAAGAGAAG
rnacentral:misc_RNA from 1 species